rnacentral:rRNA from 1 species
AUUGAACGCUGGCGGCAGGCCUAACACAUGCAAGUCGAACGAGUGGCGGACGGGUGAGUAAUGUCUGGGAAACUGCCUGAUGGAGGGGGAUAACUACUGGAAACGGUCGCUAAUACCGCAUCCCAUCAGAUGUGCCCAGAUGGGAGUAGCUAGUGGGUGGGGUAACGGAUCACAAAGGCGACGAGCCAUAGCUGGUCUGAGAGGAUGACACGCCACACUGGAACUGAUACACGGUCCAGACUCCUACGGGAGGAAUCAGUGGGGAAUAUUGCACAAUGGGCGCAAGCCUGAUGCAGCCAUGCCGCGUGUAUGAAGAAGGCCUUCGGGUUGUAAAGUACUUUCAGCGGGGAGGCGUUACCCGCAGAAGAAGCACCGGCUAACUCCGUGCCAGCCGCCGCGGUAAUUC